CUUGCGGCCAUAUCCUGUUUAAAUAACGGUCCCCCGUAUGAUCACCGAAGUUAAGCAACGUCGAACCUGGUUAAUACCAAGCUGGGUGACUACUUGGGAAUACCAGGUGCUGUAAG